GGUCACUGCUAUUGGGAUUCGACUAAGCCAUGCGAGUCGAGGGGGUUCGGCCCUCGGCUGACGGCUCAGUAACACGUGGAUAAUCUGCCCUUAGGUGGAGGAUAAUCUCGGGAUACUGAGAAUAAUACUCCAUAGAUCUGGGAUGCUGGAAUGCACUCAGAUUGAAAGCUCUGGCGCCUAAGGAUGAGUCUGCGGACUAUCAGGUAGUAGUCAGGGUAAAGACCUGACUAGCCUAUGACGGAUACGGGUUGUGAGAGCAAUAACCCGGAGACGAUAUCUGAGACACGAUAUCGGGCCCUACGGGGUGCAGCAGGCGCGAAAACUUCACACUGUGCGAAAGCACGAUGAGGGGAUCCCAAGUGCUUGCUCGUAAGAGUAAGCUGUUUUUUUGUCUAAAACACAAAGAGAGUAAGGGCUGGGUAAGACGGGUGCCAGCCGCCGCGGUAAUACCUGCAGCUCAAGUGGUGACCACUAUUAUUGGGCCUAAAACGUCCGUAGCCGGUUUAAUAAAUGCCUGGGUAAAUCGUGUAGCUUAACUAUACGAAUUCUGGGUAGACUGUUAAACUUGAGACCGGGAGAGGCUAGAGGUACUCCUGGGGUAGAGGUGAAAUUCUGUAAUCCUAGGGGGACCACCAGUGGCGAAGGCGUCUAGCUAGAACGGGUCUGACGGUGAGGGACGAAGCCCUGGGGCACAAACCGGAUUAGAUACCCGGGUAGUCCAGGGUGUAAACGCUGCUUGCUUGAUGUUAGUUGGGCUCCGAGCCCAAUUAGUGUCGGAGAGAAGUUGUUAAGCAAGCUGCCUGGGAAGUACGGUCGCAAGGCUGAAACUUAAAGGAAUUGGCGGGGGAGCACAGCAACAGGUGGAGCGUGCGGUUUAAUUGGAUUCAACGCCGGAAAACUCACCGGAGGCGACGGUUACAUGAAGGCCAAGCUGAUGACUUUGCCCGAUUUUCCGAGAAGUGGUGCAUGGCCGCCGUCAGUUCGUACCGUAAGGCGUUCUGUUAAGUCAGACAACGAACGAGACCCUCAUCUUUAAUUGCUACUGUUAAGUCCGCUUAAUAGGCACAUUAGAGAAACCG
rnacentral:rRNA from 1 species